rnacentral:piRNA from 1 species
UCUGUCAGUUCUUAAGCCUUAGCAUCCAC